ACUGGAGGGUGUGUGCUACACUUCCUCAAUGGCGCCAUCGGUUGGGAUGGCGUUAUCAGCUGUAAUCGCCGUGUGAGAGCAGUGCAGAGUGGCGGCUAUGAACUAGCCAGUGGGGCAUUAAAAGGCCCGCUACAUUGACCCGGCUAUGUCAACAAAUCACAGAGAAGCUCGGAUUACAACACACACAGAGGGAGAGUGACUUCAUUCUCUGUUCAGGUAGACAUAAGUCCUCUAUAGCUUUACAUAGCAGAUAGUUGUUUGCUGCUAUAUUAACGCUCUGGAUAUCAUA